UGAGACUAAAACAGACCCUGUCACUCAC
rnacentral:piRNA from 1 species